UACGGAGGGAGCUAGGCGUUGUUCGGAAUUACGUGGGCGUGAAAGCGCAGCGUAGGCGGAUUUGUAAGUCAGGGGUGAAAUCCCGGGGCUCAACAUUCCGGGAACCGUGCCUUUGAUUAACUGGGGAUCUCGAGUCCGGGAGAGGUGAGUGGAACUGCGAGUGUAGAGGUGAAAUUCGUAGAUAUUCGCAAGAACACCAGUGGCGAAGGCGGCUCACUGGCC
rnacentral:rRNA from 1 species